rnacentral:rRNA from 1 species
GAUGAACGCUGGCGGCGUGCCUAAUACAUGCAAGUCGAGCGAACAGACGAGGAGCUUGCUCCUCUGACGUUAGCGGCGGACGGGUGAGUAACACGUGGAUAACCUACCUAUAAGACUGGGAUAACUUCGGGAAACCGGAGCUAAUACCGGAUAAUAUAUUGAACCGCAUGGUUCAAUAGUGAAAGACGGUUUUGCUGUCACUUAUAGAUGGAUCCGCGCCGCAUUAGCUAGUUGGUAAGGUAACGGCUUACCAAGGCAACGAUGCGUAGCCGACCUGAGAGGGUGAUCGGCCACCCUGGAACUGAGCCACGGUCCAGACUCCUACGGGAGGCAGCAGUAGGGAAUCUUCCGCAAUGGGCGAAAGCCUGACGGAGCAACGCCGCGUGAGUGAUGAAGGUCUUCGGAUCGUAAAACUCUGUUAUUAGGGAAGAACAAAUGUGUAAGUAACUAUGCCCGUCUUGACGGUACCUAAUCAGAAAGCCACGGCUAACUACGU